rnacentral:tRNA from 1 species
GCAGGGGUCGGAUAGCCUGGUCAAUUCCGCUGGCUUGAGGUGCCAGUCUCUUAGUGAGUCCGUGGGUUCAAAUCCCACCCCCUGCA